CCUACGGGUGGCAGCAGUGGGGAAUAUUGCACAAUGGGCGCAAGCCUGAUGCAGCCAUGCCGCGUGUGUGAAGAAGGCCUUCGGGUUGUAAAGCACUUUCAGCGGGGAGGAAGGCGGUGAGGUUAAUAACCUCAUCGAUUGACGUUAACCGCAGAAGAAGCACCGGCUACACUCCGUGCCAGCAGCCGCGGUAAUACGGAGGGUGCAAGCGUUAAUCGGAAUUACUGGGCGUAAAGCGCACGCAGGCGGUCUGUCAAGUCGGAUGUGAAAUCCCCGGGCUCAACCUGGGAACUGCAUUCGAAACUGGCAGGCUAGAGUCUUGUAGAGGGGGGUAGAAUUCCAGGUGGAGCGGUGAAAUGCGUAGAGAUCUGGAGGAAUACCGGUGGCGAAGGCGGCCCCCUGGACAAAGACUGACGCUCAGGUGCGAAAGCGUGGGGAGCAAACAGGAUUAGAUACCCCUGUAGUC
rnacentral:rRNA from 1 species